UUGACGUUGGAUUACCAACGAGUGGCGGACGGGUGAGUAACACGUAGGCAACCUGCCCAGAAGCGGGGGACAACAUUUGGAAACAAGUGCUAAUACCGCAUAAAUCCUCAAACCGCAUGGUUUGAGGCUGAAAGAUGGUUUCGGCUAUCACUUCUGGAUGGGCCUGCGGCGCAUUAGCUUGUUGGUGGGGUAACGGCCUACCAAGGCUAUGAUGCGUAGCCGAGUUGAGAGACUGAUCGGCCACAAUGGAACUGAGACACGGUCCAUACUCC
rnacentral:rRNA from 1 species